rnacentral:rRNA from 1 species
GUCCUCUUGUUUAUAUAUGAGGUUUGACCUGCCCGGUGAAAUUAUUUUAACGGCCGCAGUAUUUUGACUGUGCAAAGGUAGCAUAAUCAUUAGUCUUUUAAUAGGGGGCUGGAAUGAAGGGUUUGACGAGGUGUUAACUGUCUCAUUAAAUUUAUUAUUAAAAUUUAACUUUUCAGUCAAAAGGCUGAAAUUAUAUUGGAAGACGAGAAGACCCUAUAGAGCUUUAUAAUUUAAAGUUUAAUUAUUAUUUGUUUAUUAUUUUUUAUUAUUCUUUUAAUUAUUUUGUUGGGGUGACAAAAAUAUAAAAUUAACUUUUUUAUUUAAUCAACAUUGAUUAAUGAAUAUUAGAUCCAAUCUUAUUGAUUGUUAGAUUAAGUUACC